CGGAAGUACCUUGCUACUUUGCCGGCGAGCGGCGGACGGGUGAGUAAUGUCUGGGAAACUGCCUGAUGGAGGGGGAUAACUACUGGAAACGGUAGCUAAUACCGCAUAACGUCGCAAGACCAAAGAGGGGGACCUUCGGGCCUCUUGCCAUCAGAUGUGCCCAGAUGGGAUUAGCUAGUAGGUGGGGUAACGGCUCACCUAGGCGACGAUCCCUAUCUGGUCUGAGAGGAUGACCAGCCACACUGGAACUGAGACACGGUCCAGACUCCUACGGGAGGCAGCAGUGGGGAAUAUUGCACAAUGGGCGCAAGCCUGAUGCAGCCAUGCCGCGUGUAUGAAGAAGGCCUUCGGGUUGUAAAGUACUUUCAGCGGGGAGGAAGGCGUUGAGGUUAAUAACCUCAGCGAUUGACGUUACCCGCAGAAGAAGCACCGGCUAACUCCGUGCCAGCAGCCGCGGUAAUACGGAGGGUGCAAGCGUUAAUCGGAAUUACUGGGCGUAAAGCGCACGCAGGCGGUCUGUCAAGUCGGAUGUGAAAUCCCCGGGCUCAACCUGGGAACUGCAUUCGAAACUGGCAGGCUAGAGUCUUGUAGAGGGGGGUAGAAUUCCAGGUGUAGCGGUGAAAUGCGUAGAGAUCUGGAAGAAUACCGGUGGCGAA
rnacentral:rRNA from 1 species